GCACCAGACAAAUAGCAGCACAUACACUAAAAUUGGAACGAUACAGAAAAGAUUAGUAUGGCCCCUGCGCAAGGAUGACACGCAAAUAAAUGUGAGAAAAGUACUC